CUCAACUAUAACUGGGAUCCAUAUAUGAAAUCCCUCUCUUAUUCAAACUCAAUAGUUUGUUGUUGUAAAUGCACUGCUAGUAGCCUGUGCUAACUGAUCUAGCCUGUUUUCUUCUUCAAGCCUAUAUUGUAAGUUAGCUGAUGAUUUCAAGCUUGUUAAUCGUUCAUACGUCAUUGGCUCAAUGACACAAGAUGCAAGUGAUUUUACUCUGCUAAUAGCAACAUAAGAAACUCCAGCAGUUCUUUCAGAUUUGCCAAUAUCUAUUCAUGCUUUUGGAAGUGUAAGUCCUUGGCUCUUGUGUAUUGUUAGAGCCCAAGCAAGCCUAAGAGGUAACUGUUG